UACGUAGGAUGCAAGCGUUGUCCGGAAUUAUUGGGCGUAAAGAGCGCGCAGGCGGUAUGACAAGUCAGAUGUGAAAGAGGCCGGCUUAACCGGCAAGGGUCAUUUGAAACUGUCAGACUAGAGUGCAGCAGAGGAUAGUGGAAUUCCCGGUGUAGUGGUGAAAUUCGUAGAUAUCGGGAGGAACACCGGUGGCGAAGGCGGCGAUCUGGGUCGAUACUGACGCUGAGGUGCGAAAGCGUGGGGAGCAAACAGG
rnacentral:rRNA from 1 species